rnacentral:sRNA from 1 species
CUGUUUCCGUGGUAUCACAAUGGACGAAAACGUCUAAUUACACAAAUUUAUCGUGGAAAAUUUUGCGCUGAAAUAAUGAAAUGCAGAAAAAUGCCGUAUGUGAACAAAUAGAAUGGAUAAAUGCCAAACAUUAUAUUGACUUGGGCGCUGAGGAUGAAGAUAACACAUGUGGAUCUAGAUUUCGCGAUAUUCCACUCAAGAUGCUAAAGGCGCUAUUACACGGGAUGUAGAUGUCUUAUGACAUGUCAC